AUUGAACGCUGGCGGCAGGCCUAACACAUGCAAGUCGAGCGGAUGAAGGGAGCUUGCUCCUGGAUUCAGCGGCGGACGGGUGAGUAAUGCCUAGGAAUCUGCCUGGUAGUGGGGGAUAACGUCAGGAAACGGGCGCUAAUACCGCAUACGUCCUGAGGGAGAAAGUGGGGGAUCUUCGGACCUCACGCUAUCAGAUGAGCCUAGGUCGGAUUAGCUAGUUGGUGGGGUAAAGGCCUACCAAGGCGACGAUCCGUAACUGGUCUGAGAGGAUGAUCAGUCACACUGGAACUGAGACACGGUCCAGACUCCUACGGGAGGCAGCAGUGGGGAAUAUUGGACAAUGGGCGAAAGCCUGAUCCAGCCAUGCCGCGUGUGUGAAGAAGGUCUUCGGAUUGUAAAGCACUUUAAGUUGGGAGGAAGGGCAGUAAGUUAAUACCUUGCUGUUUUGACGUUACCAACAGAAUAAGCACCGGCUAACUUCGUG
rnacentral:rRNA from 1 species